AAAUACCACCGUCUUCCAAGCUUGUAAAAAUGGUAACUAAAAUACCGUAACGCGGAUAAUUUUACGAUAAUUUCAUUAAUAUAACCCGCUUACUACCUGCCCUACAAAACACGAAGAAAGAUAGUGUCCAGGCACCAGUUAAUAAUAUUCGCGACUGUGGCUUGCCCUACAAAACACGAAGAAAGAUAGUGUCCAAACCACAGUGUUAAAAUUAAAUAAAACGGAAUGGGACGGAACGAUAUCAAUAGCAACGGAUUCGAUAAAGAUCUUAAUACGCGAGCUUGGAAGCGGCCGGUCAAUUGUCAACCGGUGGCUCUUACCUAACCCAAUUCACACUGUCAACGUCAAGACAAAUUUAAACGUAAAUAUUGAAAAUUUAACGGUAUUGAAAUAUGGAAAAAUUACUGGUACUUCGCUCGAAAGGUAUGGUACGACCUUACUGCGACGAAUGUGAAUCCUUGGUGGACCUGGAACCUUUUUAUACCCAUCGCAGGAAUUUGGAUGCCGACGACUCACGAACAUCCUCGGAAUCAAUCGUUGAAUAAAAAUGCAAUUGGGAAAACUUAAUGAAAAUAGAGUUUUUCCUCAUGAAAACGGUGAAAACAGCGGGACAAAAGCUGGCCACAUGUGUACAAGAAAACCGGCUUUUCAGGAAAACCGCGGAAGACUGGAAAAUGAUUUAUAGUAUAUUUUGCCACACCGAGUAUGCCCCUUCAUUUAACAGGGCUUCCCAAGUUUUAGGCAUUUGUGGUUCUUUAUUAUCCUAAGAAUAACCAGGGCUGAAAACAAUAAGGCCAGAGACUACAACAUAGUCAACGGAGAACUAGGCAUAACCUAUAAGAAAUUAAACCUUUCCAGGAUACUAUCAGGCUAGAAACCUCUUUAAGUUGGUUUCUUUAUAUAUGUUUACAAUUAUAAACCCCUCAUGACUCACAGGUAAAGCUUAAAAUGUAUCUUUUUGUUAUGUAAAUUAUAAAUUUAGAGGUUAAAAUGUUAACGGAGCAAAAUUAUCUAAGUUGUCUUAUAAAAGACUGCCUGGGCUUACCGUUAUUACUAUAAAAUAAAGACAAAAUCUUGUAACUUCGUUACAAAGUCAGCAAGUAGUCAGUAGAUGUAUAUCCGAGGUUUCAAACUUAAUUGUCAUCCAUUUAGGCCCCAUAUGCAUUCAGUUUCCAUUACAAAAUAUUCAGAAAAUGGAUAUCAAAAGAGGUUACUCAGAAAAGGGAGGAUUUCCAGGAAUAGUUGGGUGCAUAGAUUGCACCUAUAUAUCAAUUUUGUCACCAGCUUUGGACGAGCACAAUUGAAGGGUGGAAAAGCUAGAGAGCCUAAGUGCCAAAAAUUUUAGUAUUAACAUUUUUGCAAAAAACAGACCUAUUUACUGGGAUGGAUGUCCUAUAAGCGACCUAAGUCCAUAUAACCAUUGAAAGCGCCAGUAAACACGCAUGACAUAAACGUAGGACCUAUCUCCAGAAAGGCAGGUCGAGCUUGUGGGCCUAAGUGCCAACAGCGGCGCCUGUCGCAUUGUUCCUUAUUAUUUAUUUGUCAGUUUACCUUCUGCUUCGAACGUGUUUGCGUUAAAUUUUCAUUGCCAUGGAAGAAAACGUGCAAAUGGAGGUUAAAAUAAAUAAGAAAAAUGACAGGAAUAAAAGAAGAUUCAGUGGCAAGGAAUAUCAAACUAAAAGUGGCAGAUUGCGGCCUGCAAAAUCAUUGCCAGCGGAAAUGGUAAGUUUAUGGUUAUGUCGAAUUGCUUCCAAUAAUAAUUUAACGCGGAAAUAUCAAUAACGUUUCACGACCAGCAUGUUGCUUGGUUAAAAACCACACCUCUUAACUUUAUAGGUAGGUACAACAUGUGUAGAUGCUUUUGGUAUAAAAUGAUUGAGCAUUUUUCUUUAUAAGAGAGUAAUUCGCACAAAAACUUUUUAGUUAACUUUAAAUGGCUUAAUUUUAUUGACCAAAUUACCAAUUCUUUGUAUUAGGUACCUACCUAGUUUUGACAUCAGUAUUGUUUUUGUUGAUUUAAAUGAUCUUAAAAUAAUUGAUUAAUACAUUUCAUUGGAUACUUAAGGUUGUUUUUUUGUAGGUAACUUGUAAAUGCAAGUACAGUUGCCGCGUGCUUUCCUUUGAACAAAGGUUAAAG
rnacentral:lncRNA from 1 species